rnacentral:rRNA from 1 species
GAUGAACGCUGGCGGCGUGCCUAAUACAUGCAAGUCGAGCGAAUGGAUCAAGAGCUUGCUCUUAUGAAGUUAGCGGCGGACGGGUGAGUAACACGUGGGUAACCUGCCCAUAAGACUGGGAUAACUCCGGGAAACCGGGGCUAAUACCGGAUAACAUUUUGAACCGCAUGGUUCGAAAUUGAAAGGCGGCUUCGGCUGUCACUUAUGGAUGGACCCGCGUCGCAUUAGCUAGUUGGUGAGGUAACGGCUCACCAAGGCAACGAUGCGUAGCCGACAUGAGAGGGUGAUCGGCCACACUGGGACUGGGACACGGCCCAGACUCCUACGGGAGGCAGCAGUAGGGAAUCUUCCGCAAUGGACGAAAGUCUGACGGAGCAACGCCGCGUGAGUGAUGAAGGCUUUCGGGUCGUAAAACUCUGUUGUUAGGGAAGAACAAGUGCUAGUUGAAUAAGCUGGCACCUUGACGGUACCUAACCAGAAAGCCACGGCUAACUACGUGCCAGCCGCCGCCGUAA